rnacentral:rRNA from 1 species
CAUGCAAGUCGAACGCGAAAGUGGCUUCGGCCGCGAGUAGAGUGGCAAACGGGUGAGUAACGCGUGGGCGACCUGCCCUCGAGUGGGGGAUAACGUUCCGAAAGGGGCGCUAAUACCGCAUGACAUCCCGUCCUUGAAGGGGCGGCGAUCGAAGCCGGGGACCGCAAGGCCUGGCGCUCGAGGAGGGGCCCGCGUCCGAUUAGCUGGUUGGUGAGGUAACGGCCCACCAAGGCGACGAUCGGUAGCCGGCCUGAGAGGGCGGACGGCCACACUGGGACUGAGACACGGGCCCGACUCCUACGGGAGGCAGCAGUGAGGGAUAUUGCGCAAUGGGCGAAAGCCUGACGCAGCAACGCCGCGUGGGGGAGGAAGGCCUUCGGGUCGUAAACCCUUUUUCUGGGGGACGAGGAAGGACGG